rnacentral:rRNA from 1 species
CCUACGGGUGGCAGCAGUGAGGAAUAUUGGUCAAUGGACGAGAGUCUGAACCAGCCAAGUAGCGUGAAGGAUGACUGCCCUAUGGGCUGUAAACUUCUUUUAUAAAGGAAUAAAACGAGGCACGUGUGCCUCUUUGCAUGUACUUUAUGAAUAAGGAUCGGCUAACUCCGUGCCAGCAGCCGCGGUAAUACGGAGGAUCCGAGCGUUAUCCGGAUUUAUUGGGUUUAAAGGGAGCGUAGAUGGGUUGUUAAGUCAGGUGUGAAAGUUUGCGGCUCAACCGGAAAAUUGCAAUUGAUACUGGCAGUCUUGAGUACAGUUGAGGUAGGCGGAAUUCGUGGUGUAGCGGUGAAAUGCUUAGAUAUCUCGAAGAACCCCGAUUGCGAAGGCAGCUUACUAAACUGUGACUGACAUUGAUGCUCGAAAGUGUGGGUAUCAAACAGGAUUAGAUACCCGAGUAGUC